rnacentral:rRNA from 1 species
GUGAACGCUGGCGGUAGGCCUAACACAUGCAAGUCGAACGGCAGCACAGUAAGAGCUUGCUCUUACGGGUGGCGAGUGGCGGACGGGUGAGGAAUACAUCGGAAUCUACUUUUUCGUGGGGGAUAACGUAGGGAAACUUACGCUAAUACCGCAUACGACCUACGGGUGAAAGCAGGGGAUCUUCGGACCUUGCGCGAUUGAAUGAGCCGAUGUCGGAUCAGCUAGUUGGCGGGGUAAAGGCCCACCAAGGCGACGAUCCGUAGCUGGUCUGAGAGGAUGAUCAGCCACACUGGAACUGAGACACGGUCCAGACUCCUACGGGAGGCAGCAGUGGGGAAUAUUGGACAAUGGGCGCAAGCCUGAUCCAGCCAUACCGCGUGGGUGAAGAAGGCCUUCGGGUUGUAAAGCCCUUUUGUUGGGAAAGAAAAGCAGCAGGUUAAUACCCCGCUGUUCUGACGGUACCCAAAGAAUAAGCACCGGCUAACUUCGUG